GACCAAAUCAAACAGGGUAGGCAAAAGUGAAACCAAGAACAGUUCAACAUCCAACAGGGGCAAAUAAGCGCAACAAGGGCAGGCCCCCAAACGUCUAAUAUCAAACAGGGCAAACAGGAACAACAUGGACAGGCCAAAGUGCAAUAGAAGUGAAAUGGCAUGGAGACCUCUCAUAAGCACAAGAGUCUUUGCUAGUGGACCAGUGAAGCUGACUGGUGGAAUGCACUGAAGAGAGUAGGAGCUGUGAAACCAACAGUGGCAAAUCAAGACAACUGGGAGAAUUUUCAGAUCUUCAAGGCAAGGCCAGAUGACAUCCUUAUUAUCACUUAUCCUAAAGCAGGCACCACCUGGGUGUCCUACAUUUUGGAUCUGCUUUACUUUGGCAAUACGGCACCAGAGCGUCAGACCUCUCUGCCCAUCUACAUGCGAGUACCGUUCCUCGAGACAGCCUUCCCUGUGACCCCUGCAGGUCUGUGGCCCCUCUUACAGUGAUACUGUAAGACUAUAACAAUGAGUGCUCUGUACGCUGGUG
ensembl:lncRNA